rnacentral:rRNA from 1 species
AACAAACGCUGGCGGCGUGCCUAAUACAUGCAAGUCGAACGAGGAAGUCCCUUCGGGGAUUGUACUAGUGGCGCACGGGUGAGUAACGCGUGGAUAAUCUUCCUUAGAGUGGGGAAUAACUAAUCGAAAGAUUAGCUAAUACCGCAUAAGACCACAGGGUCUUCGGACCAAGGGGUUAAAGUCUUACGACGCUCUAAGAUGAGUCUGCGCCCGAUUAGCUAGUUGGUGAGGUAAUGGCUCGCCAAGGCGACGAUCGGUAGGUGGUCUGAGAGGACGACCACCCACACUGGGACUGGGACACGGCCCCGACUCCUACGGGAGGCAGCAGUAGGGAAUAUUGCACAAUGGAGGAAACUCUGAUGCAGCGACGCCGCGUGAGUGGCGAAGGCCUUCGGGUUGUAAAGCUCUGUUCUCAGGGAAAAAGAAAGUGAUUGUACCUGAGGAGAAAGGACCGGCUAACUACGUGCCAGCCGCCGCAGUAAAAC